rnacentral:lncRNA from 1 species
UUUCUUUCUCUUCAUGUUAUGUUUAGUCUUUCAAUAAAAAAUCCAGAUACUUAUAAAUAUUUGUUCUUUUUUUGUAGGUUUGUGCAUGUCGUGGAUACAUAUAUUGCUUUGUGUUCAGAGAGUUUAAAUAAUAUUAAAUUAGUUAUUCAUAUAUAUUGUGAAACUCUACGUGAUAAAACGUAUCACGAAACCUAAAUAAAUAUUUUAACUCU